AUCCAGUUGAUGAGUCGCAAAUAAGAAGAAACGCGCAUCCUGGAU
rnacentral:hammerhead_ribozyme from 1 species